AAGAAAAUUGUCACUUUGCGACACUUGCAUUACGACCAUUUGGCUGGAACCGUUGCAAUGUGCUGAAUUUUGAAAUUUUGCAACAGUACAUGCGACGGUUUUGUCAACCGUUGUAAUGUUUUGGCUUAAUUUGGGAAUUCUGCGACAGUUAAGUUAACCGUUGCAAUGUUUUGGCUUUUGCAAAAAAAGAAGAAAAAAAAUCACUACCUAACACGAUUUAUCAAAACUAACUCACACUAUCACAAAUCCCUAAAUCCCUAAAACAUGAUCUCCAGUGUCUUCAAUCGUUCUCUUCACCGUAAAUCCCUAAAUCACUCUCGGCGAUCUCGUUCUCUCCAACCUCUCCAUCGAUGUCUCCAAAGAGAAACCAUUCUCUUUAACUUCAUUAUCGUUCCAAUUCCAGAAAUUGUUGCCGUGGAGAAAUCGUUGCCGUCCUGAUACACGUUCAGAGAAAGUUAGGACUGGAGGGUUCAGCAAGGGUGCAUCUAUAACAUAACAUUAUACUCUGCAGCUUGUUAUCACAUGGGAAGAUUAUAUAGCUCAUUAUUUAUCAAUAUUUUCAGAAGAAGCCUAUUGAGGUUCUAGGAGUUAUUGAGAUUCAUGUGUUUGAGAGUAACAACCGCUUGUUAGGAGGUGGUCAAAAAUCUUCGGUUGUCAUCCUCUCUAAAAGAUUUAUUCUCUUCCUUCAAGUUCAAUGGAAUGUUAAAAUGCAAGUCUGAUAGGUUGUUCUCAGAAGAAGUUUAGAGGCUAAAAAAUAUGCAUACUGGAGUUAUGAACUUGGAUGGUUCUUUGUAAAAUCCUAUUGAUUUUUUCAAGUAUGUCCUUUACUUUCCAAGCAUGGUUCGAGCAUAGAGGUAACCGAAUAAGAAGAGUCAAGUGAUGGUAGGCGUUUCUAAGUCUAGUGCACACUAAUUAAGGAUUAUGAAGCAACAUCACAUACUAGGGAUAUUUAGAUAUUUUUUGAACUUAUUUUGACGUGUUGUUAUGUUUAACCACUCUACUAAUAUUUAUGUUUUGAACUACAUUAGUUUCUUUCGUUUGGAACUUCAAGUACUUGAAUUAAAUUUUGAUGUAUGGAUCUUGUCACUAUUGAAUGAAUUAUAUAAAUGAGAUUAAGUUAUUUAUAUUUAUAUAUUUGUGCAUUUUA